rnacentral:lncRNA from 1 species
AGACUUCUGACAGGGAUCCAGCACCAGGGACAUGGCGUGAGCAAACUGUGUGGGGGAAUUCUGAGCCCCCUGAGGCAUAACAGUCCAGGUGUAUUGCUGUCCUUCAUGGGUAAAGGCAAAGAGAAAACGACAGGAAGGGUCAAGGGGGACACUGAAGAAGGCAUUAGCUAGAUCCACCACGGUGAAUAUUGUUGAAGUAGGUGGGACUUGGGAUAAGAG